AUGCUGGACGGGCGAGCAGGUGCGGGCAGUGAUCGAUUGAAUAGCAUGCAUUUAGUUUUNNNNNNNNNNNNNNNNNNNNGUUCUAUGUUCCUGUCUGUCUGUCUAUGUCCUGUCGGCCUGUGUCUGUCUGUCUGUCUGUCUGUCCGUCUGUGUUCCUGUCUGUCUAUGUUCCUGUCUGUCUAUGUUCCUGUCUGUCUGUCUGUCUGUCUGUCUGUCUGUCUGUCUGUCUGUCUGUGUUCCUGUCUGUCUGUCUGUCUAUGUUCCUGUCUGUCUGUCUGUCUGUCUGUCUGUCUGUCUGUCUGUCUGUCUGUCUGUGUUCCUGUCUGUCUGUCUGUCUGUCUGUCUGUCUAUGUUCCUGUCUGUCUGUCUAUGUGUCUGUCUGUCUAUGUUCCUGUCUGUCUGUCUGUCUGUGUUCCUGUCAUGUCUGUCUGUCUUGUCUGUCUGUCUGUCUGUCUGUCUGUCUGUCUGUCUGUCUGUCUGUCUGUUCUGUCUGUCUGUGUUCUGUCUGUCUAUGUUCCUGUCUGUCUGUUUGUCUGUCUGUCUAUGUUCCUGUCUGUCUGUCUAUGUUCCUGUCUGUCUAUGUUCCUGUCUGUCUUUCUGUCUGUCUGUCUGUGUCUAUGUUCCUGUCUGUCUGUCUGUCUGUGUUCCUGUCUGUCUUUCUACGUACCUGUCUGUCUGUCUAUGUACCUGCCUGUCUGUCUAUGUUUCUGUCUAUGUUUCUGUCUGUCUGUCGGUCUGUCUGUCUAUGUUCCUGUCUGUCUGUCUGUCUAUGUUCCUGUCUGUCUGUCUAUCUAUGUUCCUGUCUGUCUGUCUGUCUGUCUGUCUGUCUUUCUGUCUGUGUUCCUGUCUGUGUUCCUGUCUGUCUGUCUGUCUGUCUGUCUGUCUGUCUAUGUUCCUGUCUGUCUAUGUUCCUGUCUGUCUGUCUGUCUGUCUGUGUCUAUGUUCUGUCUGUCUGUCUGUCUGUGUUCCUGUCUGUCUUUCUAUGUACCUGUCUGUCUGCAUGUACCUGCCUGUCUGUCUAUGUUCCUGUCUGUCUGUCUGUCUGUCUGUGUUCCUGUCUGUCUUUCUAUGUACCUGUCUGUCUGUCUAUGUACCUGUCUGUCUGUCUAUGUUCCUGUCUGUCUGUCUGUCUAUGUUCCUGUCUGUCUGUCUGUCUGUCUGUCUGUCUGUCUGUCUGUCUGUCUGUCUGUCUGUGUUCCUGUCUGUCUAUGUUCCUGUCUGUCUGUGUGUCUGUCUGUCUGUGUUCCUGUCUGUCUGUGUUCCUGUCUGUCUGUCUGUCUGUCUGUCUGUCUGUCUGUCUGUCUGUCUGUCUGUCUGUGUUCUGUCUGUCUGUCUGUCUGUCUGUCUGUCUGUGUCUAUGUUCCUGUCUGUCUGUCUGUGUUCCUGUCUGUCUUUCUAUGUACCUGUCUGUCUGUCUAUGUACCUGCCUGUCUGUCUAUGUUUCUGUCUAUGUUUCUGUCUGUCUGUCUGUCUGUCUGUCUGUCUGUCUGUCUGUCUGUCUGUCUGUCUGUGUCUGUCUGUCUGUGUGUCUGUCUGUCUGUGUUCCUGUCUGUCUGUCUGUCUGUCUGUCUGUGUUCCUGUCUGUCUGUGUUCCUGUCUGUCUGUAUGUCUGUCUGUCUGUCUGUCUGUCUGUGUUCCUGUCUGUCUGUGUUCCUGUCUGUCUGUGUUCCUGUCUGUCUGUCUGUCUGUGUUCCUGUCUGUCUUUCUAUGUACCUGUCUGUCUGUCUAUGUACCUGUCUGUCUGUCUGUCUGUCUGUCUGUCUGUCUGUCUGCCUGUGUCUGUCUGUCUGUCUGUCUGUGUUCCUGUCUGUCUGUGUUCCUGUCUGUCUAUGUUCCUGUCUGUCUGUCUGUCUGUCUGUCUGUCUGUCUGUCUGUAUGUAUGUCUGUCUAUGUUCCUGUCUGUCUGUCUGUCUGUCUGUCUGCCUGUCUAUGUUUCUGUCUGUCUGUCUGUCUGUAUUUCUGUCUGUCUGUAUUUCUGUCUGUCUGUCUGUCUGUCUGUCUGUCUGUCUGUCUGUCUGUCUGUCUGUCUGUCUGUAUGUCUGUGUUCCUGUCUGUGUUCCUGUCUGUGUUCCUGUCUGUGUUCCUGUCUGUCUGUGUUCCUGUCUGUGUUCCUGUCUGUCUGUGUUCCUGUCUGUGUUCCUGUCUGUCUAUGUUUCUGUCUAUCUGUCUGUCUGUCUUCACUACCGGAUGUAG
rnacentral:lncRNA from 8 species